rnacentral:rRNA from 1 species
AACGAACGCUGGCGGCAGGCUUAACACAUGCAAGUCGAACGGUUGUAGCAAUACAGCAGUGGCAGACGGGUGAGUAACACGUGGGAACCUUCCUAGGGGUACGGAACAACUCAGGGAAACUUGAGCUAAUACCGUAUACGUCCGUGAGGAGAAAGAUUUAUCGCCCUUAGACGGGCCCGCGUCGGAUUAGCUAGUUGGUGGGGUAACGGCCUACCAAGGCGACGAUCCGUAGCUGAUCUUAGAGGAUGAUCAGCCACACUGGGACUGAGACACGGCCCAGAGUCCUACGGGAGGCAGCAGUUGGGAAUCUUGUACAAUAGGCGCAAGCCUGAUCCAGCCAUGCCGAGUGAGUGAAGAAGGUCUUCGGAUUGUAAAGCUCUUUUGCCAGGGACGAUAAUGACGGUACCUGGAGAAUAAGCCCCGGCAAACUUCGUGCCAGCCGCCGCGGUAA